AAUAGGACAGUCUGUGAGGCUGCUCUUGCUUCAUAAACAAGGCUCCCUUCACCACACUGUCUAAUUCGAGGUGCAUUAUUAUUUAAAACACAAGAGGCAAGCAGAUACUCAUAUCUGGGGGAUGAGACAGACAAGGACUUGUUGUGGAAUACCAUCUCCAAGGACAGGCGGAUGUCUCCAGACUAGUGACCUUUUGACGCAGGACAAGAAGUUCAGAGGUUGGCCACGUUUUGAAAAAGCUCUGAAACGCGUUUGUCUUGACCAGGGCUGACCAGGGCCGGCCAGGGCCCGCAGUGGAAAUGAGGCAGAAGUCAGCUUCCAUGUUCAGCUUAAUUGACAGGAUGUUUGCUUUGAAGGGGCGUGGCUUUGAUUGGUGCUAGAACAACAAAAACAUCUAAUAUGUAUUCCUGGGCAGGUGUAUGACCACCCAACUCCAGAUACUGUAUAUUCUAUAGAACCAGUAGUGAUCCUGAAGAAUCUGGAGAUAGAGUUGAUGAGGGGACUGCCACUGUUACACAUUAGACCAGACAUAAAAAAAGAAUGUGUACAAAAACAUGAACUGGGUAAAUUACAGGCAGACAUUAACAGAAUCCCUAUUUAUAGCCUGACAUGCAAACCUUUGGCAGUAUUAGGCCUAUACAACGUUUUAUAUUGUUAUGCAACCUGUUAAUGUUUUCAUUGCAGUGGUUUACUAUUAUACCAUGUGCUGAAGCUGGUUAUGUUGAGUAUAAUAACAAUAGGUUCAAUAACUAAUGUUAAAUUGUGAAAAACUGACUUUUGUUGAAAAAAAUACCCCCUAAAGGUAGAACACAAUAAAA